rnacentral:rRNA from 1 species
CUACAAGUCUCCUGAAGGAACGUUGAAGACGACGACGUUGAUAGGCCGGGUGUGUAAGCGCAGCGAUGCGUUGAGCUAACCGGUACUAAUGAACCGUGAGGCUUAACCUUACAACGCCGAAG